rnacentral:rRNA from 1 species
UACGAAGGGUGCAAGCGUUACUCGGAAUUACUGGGCGUAAAGCGUGCGUAGGUGGUUUGUUAAGUCUGAUGUGAAAGCCCUGGGCUCAACCUGGGAAUUGCAUUGGAUACUGGCAGGCUAGAGUGCGGUAGAGGAUGGCGGAAUUCCCGGUGUAGCAGUGAAAUGCGUAGAGAUCGGGAGGAACAUCUGUGGCGAAGGCGGCCAUCUGGACCAGCACUGACACUGAGACGCGAAAGCGUGGGGAGCAAACAGG